CGGCGACUUAUAGGUAGUGGCAGGUUAAGGUAGUAAUACUGGAGCCAGAGUGAAAGCGAGCCUGAAUAGGGCGCUAGUCACUAUUUAUAGACCCGAACCCGGAUGAUCUAACCAUGGCCAGUGUGAAGCUUAGGUAACACUAAGUGGAGGCGCGAACCGACUGAUGUUGAAAAAUCAGCGGAUGAGUUGUGGUUAGGGGUGAAAUGCUAAUCGAAUCCGGAGCUAGCUGGUUCUCCCCGAAAUGCGUUUAGGCGCAGCGGUUAGCGCUAUAGCUUAGGGGUAAAGCACUGUUUCGGUGCGGGCUGCUAACGCGGUACCAAAUCGAGGCAAACUCUGAAUACUAAGUGUGUAGCUAACCAGUAAGACUGUGGGGGAUAAGCUCCAUUGUCAAGAGGGAAACAGCCCAGACCACCAGCUAAGGCCCCUAAAUAAUUACUAAGUGAUAAAGGAUGUGGGAAUGCUGAGACAAUCAGGAGGUUCGCCUAGAAGCAGCUAUCCUUUAAAGAGUGCGUAAUAGCUCACUGAUCAAGCGCACCUGCGCCGAAAAUGAACGGGGCUAAGUAAUUUGCCGAAGCUGUGGGAUUAUAUAAUAAUCGGUAGGGGAGCGUUCCACCUUAGGUUGAAGCAUUAGCGUAAGCGGAUGUGGACGAAGUGGAAGUGAGAAUGUCGGCUUGAGUAGCGAAAACAUUGGUGAGAAUCCAAUGCCCCGAAAACCUAAGGUUUCCUCCGGAAGGCUCGUCCGCGGAGGGUGAGUCAGGACCUAAGACGAGGCCGAAAGGCGUAGUUAAUGGACAACGGGUUAAUAUUCCCGUACCAUCUUAUAUUGGCACCGAGGGACGGAGAAGGCUAAACCAUCCGGAUGUUGGUUACCGGUUUAAACGUUUAAGGUGUUGAAGAAUGGAGAAAACAUUCUGAGCUAAGGCGUGAGUACGAAGUACUAAGGUACUGAAGUGGUUGAUGUCAUACUUCCAAGAAAAGCUCGAACUGUCAUAAAUAUAAGAUGCCUGUACCCGAAACCGACACAGGUAGGUAGGUAGAGUAUACCAAGGGGCGCGAGAUAACUCUCUCUAAGGAACUCGGCAAAAUUACCUCGUAACUUCGGAAGAAGAGGUACCUAGCAAUAGGUUGCAAUAAAUAGGCCCUGGCGACUGUUUACCAAAAACACAGGUCUCCGCUAAAUCGUAAGAUUACGUAUGGGGGCUGACGCCUGCCCAGUGCCGGAAGGUUAAAGAAGUUGGUUAGUCUUUGACGAAGCUAGCGACUGAAGCCCCGGUGAACGGCGGCCGUAACAAUAACGGUCCUAAGGUAGCGAAAUUCCUUGUCGGGUAAGUUCCGACCCGCACGAAAGGCGUAACGAUCAGGGUGCUGUCUCGGAGAGAGGCUCGGCGAAAUAGACAUGUCUGUGAAGAUGCGGACUACCUGCACCUGGACAGAAAGACCCUAUGAAGCUUUACUGUAUCUUGGAAUUGGGUUUGGGCUUUGUCUGCGCAGGAUAGGUGGGAGGCUUUGAAGGCAUUCUUGCGGGAAUACUGGAGCCAAUGGUGAGAUACCACUCUGGCAGAGCUAAAAUUCUAACUUUGAACCGUUAGCCGGUCAAAGAACAGUUUCAGGUGGGCAGUUUGACUGGGGCGGUCGCCUCCUAAAAGGUAACGGAGGCGUGCAAAGGUUCCCUCAGGCUGGUCGGACAUCAGUCGUAGAGUGUAAAGGCAUAAGGGAGCUUGACUGCGAGACUUACAAGUCGAGCAGAGACGAAAGUCGGCCUUAGUGAUCCGACGGUACCGAGUGGAAGGGCCGUCGCUCAACGGAUAAAAGUUACUCUAGGGAUAACAGGCUGAUCUCCCCCAAGAGUUCACAUCGACGGGGAGGUUUGGCACCUCGAUGUCGGCUCAUCGCAUCCUGGGGCGGUAGUACGUCCCAAGGGUUGGGCUGUUCGCCCAUGAAAGCGGUACGCGAGCUGGGUUCAGAACGUCGUGAGACAGUUCGGUCCAUAUCCGGUGCAGGCGUUAGAGUAUUGAGAGGAGUCCCCCUUAGUACGAGAGGACCGGGGGGAAUACACCGCUGGUGUACCAGUUAUCGUGCCAACGGUAAACGCUGGGUAGCCAAGUGUAGAAAGGAUAACUGCUGAAAGCAUCUAAGUAGGAAGCCCACCUCAAGAUGAGUACUCUCACCGCUAUAAGCGGGUAAGAUCACGGCAAGAACAGCCGGUAAAUAGGCAUUAGGUGUAAGUGCAGUAAUGUAUUCAGCCGAGAUGUACUAACAGAUCGAGGGCUUGA
rnacentral:rRNA from 13 species